rnacentral:lncRNA from 1 species
GUAAAUACUAUUUUUUUUUAAAUUUUGAUUUGAUAUUUUUAUGUGGUCAUUUUCCAAAUCAAACUCGGCUGAAAAUGUUUUUUUUUGUUCAUAUUAUCUGGGGUCUUACACUUUUGAGGCAGUUUUUUGGAGGAAGUUUCUUGGCGUCAUCUCAUUAGAGGGCUAUCACCCUUUAAUAAGUUUGUGGCUUAGAAAUUCCCUACUAUAAAUUCUGAAAAUAUUGUGUGCAUUUUUUAUUGUGAUUUUGACACAUAUAUGUAGAUUAAAUUUUGCAAUACAAGUAUUGAGAAAAUCCUGUUUGAUUCAUAUGAAAAAGUUUAAAUUAUUGCGAUUAUAAC